rnacentral:rRNA from 1 species
AUUGAACGCUGGCGGCAGGCCUAACACAUGCAAGUCGAACGGUAACAGGAAGAAGCUUGCUUCUUUGCUGACGAGUGGCGGACGGGUGAGUAAUGUCUGGGAAACUGCCUGAUGGAGGGGGAUAACUACUGGAAACGGUAGCUAAUACCGCAUAACGUCGCAAGACCAAAGAGGGGGACCUUCGGGCCUCUUGCCAUCGGAUGUGCCCAGAUGGAAUUAGCUAGUAGGUGGGGUAACGGCUCACCUAGGCGACGAUCCCUAGCUGGUCUGAGAGGAUGACCAGCCACACUGGAACUGAGACACGGUCCAGACUCCUACGGGAGGCAGCAGUGGGGAAUAUUGCACAAUGGGCGCAAGCCUGAUGCAGCCAUGCCGCGUGUAUGAAGAAGGCCUUCGGGUUGUAAAGUACUUUCAGCGGGGAGGAAGGGAGUAAAGUUAAUACCUUUACUCAUUGACGUUACCCGCAGAAGAAGCACCGGCUAACUCCGUG